rnacentral:rRNA from 1 species
GACGAACGCUGGCGGCGUGCUUAACACAUGCAAGUCGAACGGAAAGGCCCUGCUUUUGUGGGGUGCUCGAGUGGCGAACGGGUGAGUAACACGUGAGUAACCUGCCCUUGACUUUGGGAUAACUUCAGGAAACUGGGGCUAAUACCGGAUAGGAGCUCCUGCUGCAUGGUGGGGGUUGGAAAGUUUCGGCGGUUGGGGAUGGACUCGCGGCUUAUCAGCCUGUUGGUGGGGUAGUGGCUUACCAAGGCUUUGACGGGUAGCCGGCCUGAGAGGGUGACCGGCGACAUUGGGACUGAGAUGCGGCCCAGACUCCUACGGGAGGGAGCAGUGGGGAAUAUUGCAAAGUGGGCGGAAGCCUGAUGCAGCAGCGCCGCGUGCGGGAUGACGGCCUUCGGGUUGUAAACCGCGUUCGCCUGUGACGAAGCGUGAGUGACGGUAAUGGGUAAAGAAGCACCGGCUAACUACGUG